rnacentral:misc_RNA from 1 species
GCUCACAAAAUAAUUCCCCGAACGUCAUUUACUGUUCACGAUCAGCCAUGGAGAAAAGCGGUGGAAGAGAGGUGCGACAACGUAGCAUUGGGACCGAAAAUAUCCCCAAUGUCGCCAAAAAUGGCCUCCAAAAUGGUCCCGAGACCAAAAAGGUACCAUCCCGCUACCUCUCGGAGGUUAUUUUCGGGUACAUUUUGGUCUACAUGGGGGUGCUUUUUCUGGUGGCGUUUUGGAGUUACCACCGACUGCCAGCGCCGAAGACCGUGGCUGGGCACGGAGGCACGGGGGAGUUUCUUGAGGAGCGCGCCCGGGCGCACGUCGCUGAAAUCACGAGCUUCGGACCUCGGCCUGGCGGAUCUAGAGCAAACGAGGUCUUUUGUGUCGAGUAUCUCAUGAAAGCACUCUCAGAAAUCAAGAAAAUGGCUGUACCAGGGGUUCAUGAAGUCGAUAUCGACAUUUCAUUCCCUGAGGGUUCAUAUACGAUGGACAUUUGGGGUGGUUUUUCGCCCUAUUACAAGAAGAUUACCAAUAUUGCGGCCCGUUUGAGUCCGGCCAAGGAAGUUGUGAGGCAGGGGGAAGGGGCUCACGAUCACAGCCUGCUGCUGAACGGUCACUUUGACACGGUGGAGGGAAGUCCUGGUGCCAGCGACGAUGCAGCUAGCUGCGGCAUCAUGUUAGAGAUCCUCCAGAACCUAGCCACCUCACCCUAUCCUCUUCGUCAUGACAUCAUCUUCCUGUUCAAUGGAGCAGAGGAGAACGUCUUACAAGCCAGUCAUGGCUUCAUCACUAAACAUCCCUGGAGGAAGAACAUCAAGGCUUUCAUCAAUCUUGAAGCAGCCGGUGCCGGAGGCAGGGAACUCGUCUUUCAGACAGGUCCCGACCAUCCGUGGCUAUUGAGGGCCUACUCCCAGCAUGCCGUGCAUCCCUUCGCUACCGUGAUUGGCCAGGAUGUCUUUCAGGCCGAGUUGAUCCCCUCCGAUACAGACUUUAGGAUCUUCAGGGACUUUGGGCAUAUCCCAGGUGUCGAUAUGGCUUAUGUGAGCAAUGGCUAUGUCUACCACACCAAGUACGAUAACCUGGACUCCAUACCUCCUGGCUGCAUACAGCGAGCUGGUGAUAACAUCCAGGCUCUGGCAACUCACCUGGCCAACUCCUCUACCUUACACGAAGGUAUAGAGGAAGAUCCCCAUGGUAGCAUGGUCUUCUUUGACUUGCUAGGUCUCAUCAUGGUGGCUUACCCUGCUAGGGUGGGCGUGAUACUCAACUCUGUGGUGGUUGGAGCUGUGUUUCUCAGCACGCUGUGCAGGCGCAGGAAAGAUUUUUCCAGUCACCCAGUCUACCUGUCCAACGUUCUCCGUGCCAUGGGUGUCAUCUUUGUGUCCUACCUCGCCGUCCUUGUCACCAUCGUCUUGGUCAUCCUUCUACUCACCAUCACCAAGUCUGAGAUGUCCUGGUACGCCAACCCGGCACUCAUCGCGGGCCUGUACUGGGCCCCUGGCUUCUAUGCCAUGCUUUUGGUGCAUCAAUGGCUGGGUGCCAAACUGCAUACAGUUGACACCAAGGCCAAUCCCUGGAUUCUGGAGGGUGUUUUCUUCGAUGCCAAUCUUCUGAUCUGGUCGGUUCUAGUUGCCGUUCUGACACUGAAGGGGAUUGGUUCAGCCUACAUGCCCAUGCUGAGUGUCUUGUUUGCAUUGGUGGGACGUAACGUGAUGUGGAAAGGCAUGAAAACGCUACAGGAGGGUACCAAGACAAUGCUUGUCCUGACUGCCUAUAUCUCCAUGACGGUCAUUCCCCUGACUCUGUGGCUGUAUCUCAUGCUUCUUGGCUAUGAGAUCUUCCUGCCCAUCAUGGGUCGGUCUGGUGCCCUGGUCACACCUGAACUGUUUGUGGGAUUCUUGACAUUUGUCGUGGUCAUCAUGUCCACCAACUUCUUGGUUUGUCUGAUCCAUACUUGCCGCAGCCUUAAGUACACCAAGGCGUUCCUGCUUCUAGUCUUCAUAGUGAGCCUGGCGGCCGUCAUCAGCAAAGUCGCGUUCCCGUACUCCGGUGACCCGGCCAAGCCUGCACCUAAGAGGAUUCUGCUGGAGCAUAUAUCCAGAUCCAAGCACGAUCAGUCUGGUGCCAUUGUGGACCACGACACUUAUGUGUCUGUUUUGCCAUUGGAUUACCUGGGUGUCAGACAUAUGGAGUCCUACAUCCCAGCGCUCAAAGACGCCCCAAUGGCAGAAUGCAGGAAGGACAUGCCUUACUGUGGCAAUCCCUAUUAUCUACCGCUGUUGCAUGUUUUCAGGUAAGACGCCCCAAUGGCAGAAUGCAGGAAGGACAUGCCUUACUGUGGCAAUCCCUAUUAUCUACCGCUGUUGCAUGUUUUCAGGUAAGACGCCCCAAUGGCAGAAUGCAGGAAGGACAUGCCUUACUGUGGCAAUCCCUAUUAUCUACCGCUGUUGCAUGUUUUCAGGUAAGACGCCCCAAUGGCAGAAUGCAGGAAGGACAUGCCUUACUGUGGCAAUCCCUAUUAUCUACCGCUGUUGCAUGUUUUCAGGUAAGACGCCCCAAUGGCAGAAUGCAGGAAGGACAUGCCUUACUGUGGCAAUCCCUAUUAUCUACCGCUGUUGCAUGUUUUCAGGUAAGAUGCCCCAAUGGCAGAAUGCAGGAAGGACAUGCCUUACUGUGGCAAUCCCUAUUAUCUACCGCUGUUGCAUGUUUUCAGGUAAGAUGCCCCAAUGGCAGAAUGCAGGAAGGACAUGCCUUACUGUGGCAAUCCCUAUUAUCUACCGCUGUUGCAUGUUUUCAGGUAAGACGCCCCAAUGGCAGAAUGCAGGAAGGACAUGCCUUACUGUGGCAAUCCGUAUUAUCUACCGCUGUUGCAUGUUUUCAGGUAAGACGCCCCAAUGGCAGAAUGCAGGAAGGACAUGCCUUACUGUGGCAAUCCGUAUUAUCUACCGCUGUUGCAUGUUUUCAGGUAAGACGCCCCAAUGGCAGAAUGCAGGAAGGACAUGCCUUACUGUGGCAAUCCUAUUAUCUACCGCUGUUGCAUGUUUUCAGGAACCAGUGGAUCCUCCCAGGAGGUGAGCCACAGAUUGACGUGGAAACGACCUUCAAACUUAACUCUCGCCUGAAGAAAGCUGACCAUCAGA